rnacentral:rRNA from 1 species
UACGUAGGCAGCAAGCGUUGUUCGGAAUUACUGGGCGUAAAGAGUGUGUAGGCGGUUUCGUAAGUUCGGUGUGAAAUCUCCCGGCUUAACUGGGAGGGUGCGCCGAAUACUGCGGGGCUUGAGUGCCGGAGAGGAAAGCGGAAUUCCUGGUGUAGCGGUGAAAUGCGUAGAUAUCAGGAGGAACACCGGUGGUGUAGACGGCUUUCUGGACGGCCACUGACGCUGAGACACGAAAGCGUGGGGAG